AUGGCCCAAACUACAGUCGGUCACAAUCGAAUGGUUGUGAGCGAAUCCGAGCAUGAUCAAGUGAUCAAUGGGGCUGUUUUGUGUGAUCGGAUGGCUCUAGUGCGAGCCGGUCACUGUUGGACGGCCACGGAUUAUUUCGGGUUUGAUUGGGACUUUAUUUCCUAUUAAAACAGUAUUUUUAUGAUUCUGGAGUCUAUAUACUUCGAUUGACGAACCAUUUGUUGUGUUGGAGAGCUGG
rnacentral:lncRNA from 1 species